rnacentral:misc_RNA from 1 species
UUUCAGUAGCAGGAUCAGCUAGUGCGAUCGAUUUAAUUCUUCUGAGCACUUUUUCGUCAAGAAACCAAAUGGCUAGUGAUGUGUCAGAUGUUUGUCAGAAAUUACAGGGAGUUCAGCUUCAGUUGAGUCUGGUAUUGACUAGGAAUGAAGAUGUCCUCAAACACUUAGAAGAAGUAGAGAAGAUUUUCUUAAAGAAUGGCUCCUCAACUGACAGGGAAAACUUCAGUAAGAGUAUCAGACAAUCCAGACUUAUCAGUAGUAAGCUUGAGGAGAGUAUUCAAACACAAUGUACCUCUAUUGGACUUGCUGUUACUGAACUGGAAAAAAGGAGUGCAGAUGCAGAAGAACAAAGCACAGGAAGUACACCAAGGAAAGGCAGAAGGAGGUCAUCUGCAGCUGAAAAGUCUGGUUUGGAAUUCCAGCUUAAGUCCCAACUAAAUCACAAUGUCCUUCUCCAUAAGGAGAAAGCAGAGUUGGAGACCAGACUUAAGGAGCACAUGGGGACUCUUAAGGAAUCUGGUAAACAAGCUGAUAAACUGGAAGAGGAGAUUGUGGAGACCAAGAAACAGAUGAAGAAUCUUCUUGAUAUGUUUGAAGAAAAGGCAGUAGAAGCUGAGAAUAGAAUAGGUGAACUGCAUGAAGCCAUGGAGAGGACCCAAGAAAAGGCCAAUCAAUACCAAGCCAUGUAUGAGGCUGAGAAAGAGUCUAACUAUAGAUUUGAGAAAGAACACAAAGAGAGAGAAAAGAAUAGAUUCAAGAUGGAGAAUGGAGAUGAUGAGGGUGAUGGUUUAGGACCGGUCUUGAUAUCAAGACCUCAGACUUCGGUGAAAAGAUCAAAGUCGACACCAAUCGACCCAUAUCACAUCGACCCUCAGUACCAGUCCGUUAUGGAGGAAAAUAAGGCCUUAAAAGCAGAAGUAGAUAGAUUAGUGAAUGAUAAUGUACAUCUAUUAAAGAAGAGUAAGCAAGCUCAAAGGGAUAUUGAAACUAUUCAGAAUCAUGUUGCAACUUGUUCAGGUCAGAGGGAUGAACUAAGAAGAAGACUAAAGAAAGAACAGGAAGAGAAGCGUAAGCUUUCAUCAUCAAUGACGAGGCAAGCAUCUGAUUGGAUCAUGCAGAAGAAGAUGGUUAAAGACAUUGAACAUUAUAGUAAAGCCGGAAAGACAUGUUCAUAUUUACUGUGUUGCUGAGCUUACACCACUCUCUCUGUUUCUUUCUACAUGGACUUGUACACCCAGCAGUGACUAAACUCAGAUUCAACCAGAGUCUACGUUAUCAGCCAGUGUACGUUAUAGAAGCCACCCAAUCAAAGUGAAUGAGGAUAAACCUAGGAACAUUCCUGUAGAGAGUUGGUCAUCUGAAAAUCCUCUUAGAGCUGUAUGAGAAAUGAAGUUGAUUCCUGAGGUUCUCAUUAUCAUCAGAAGUAUAUGAUUUCAACUACAGCUCCAUGAUGAUUCAGAGCUUUUAGCCCAAUUUGUGUAAUGAAAAUUAAUCUAGUUAUGAUAUAAGUCACUCAUGCCACCAAAAUGAGUAAAGAAUUGAUUUACCAGACAUGAUAUGAGAUUGUGCCUGAAUUGAAACUUUGUUGAAAAUGCAAUGCCCAACCUUUACUAUCUUGUUUUUUUUUUUGGGGGGGAGGAAGAUUCAAUUCUGAACUCAGGUUUAAAUUAAACCCCGGUUUAAAGUUGUGGUUUAACUAUGGAGACCAAAUUGGGGCACGAAUACCUAAGAGCGCACAUCCCAUUUAUUCACUCAUAUGACACCCAAAUUGUCUGGGAAUGAUAACUGAAAUUUUUUUUUUUUCAUUUGAAAGUGAAAGGAAACUAAAUAGUAAACAUAAGAAAUAUACAAUAUAAACAAAUUUUUUGAACUUUUGACUCCCCAUGAUUUUAGCACAGAGACCGUGGUCUAAGUUUAACCUGACUUAAGAAUACGGGCCAAUAUGUUUUUUGCAUUUCAUAUCCUAUUAUUAAUAUAUAAUUGAAUUUGAUUUGAUUUGAUUUUAAAAAUUGUAAUGUGUUUUCAUCCAGUGGCUUUUUAUAAGCAGGUCUGUACAUACAUAGUAAUCAUGUGAUAAUUAUUACAAUUUUUUAUUAUGAUUAUUAAAUUCAAAUUUUGUGUAAAUUUAUUUCUCAUACAUAUAAAUUAAAACUGACCUUUUUUUUUUGCUGCAGUGAAUCUCUUGUGUGAACCUAAAUACAUGUAGCUGUGUCAUAUCUCAUUCAGGUUUGUUUGACUUACAUUCCAUUGGAUAGUGAAUAUGAAUACUAAAAUAGAUCCACUCCAUGAGGAGACAAUGAUGGGGGCAAAGGGAUAUUCUGAAAGUAAAAUUUAUCAGCACUGUAUGAUUUUACUAUCUUUUAUACAAUUAUGCCCAUUGAAUAUAGUCUGCAGGCACAGACCCUGAAUGAAAUUUUUAUCAACAAGUGGGUCUCCAUGCAAAGACUAGCACAUAUAAAACUUGCUGUUUCAAUUCUGAACGAGAGGGCCUUCAGUUUGAAGUGCUACCACUUGAAUUUUGUAUGAUACAUUUAUAUUUGCUGUAUGAAAUAUAACGCCUACAAGUAUUGCAAUGAAUUAUUUUUAUGUACAUAUUCUUUACCUGCUAAAUAAAUUAGUAUUUUUUACAUGAAAUGAUUUGUAUUGUAUAGUACAGUUAUAUACAUCACCUUCAAAUAAUUUAUAUGAGUGAAACCAAAUUUCUCAUAUACACACAUUCAUUACAUUAUUUGUAUUUGAUGCUACCUUGUAGAUAAUCAGAAAGCAUUGUUG